rnacentral:tRNA from 1 species
GUCUUCGUGGUGUAACGGUAGCACACUCGGCGCGUAUUCAAGAGGCCCAGGUUCGAGUCCAGGCGAGGGCA